AUACUCUUCUGAGGGAAUAUCAUUAAUUACUCUUGGUUCACUAUGUUUCCUGAUUUCACAGCAAUCGGCUGCUAUGAAUGGCAUCUAAACACUGGCACUCUGGUGGUGCAAAAGUUGCCAUUGUAUUGACCUCUGUGUGUGGCGCAGCAGCGAGCCCGUUGUUUGCUCAGUAACAUCCACCUUAUACAGUUACAUCUACAAAAAAUGAAUAUGUCAUUUAUUGCAGUCUCUCAAGAGAAGUAAAAGCAAGAAUUCAAUAGAGAAAAUUAUGAGAGACUGAGGCCUAUGACCUUGAAAUAUAGGAGAAAAACAAUCAGCUACAAAGCAGAAAACAAACGAGCUAUAAAAAACAAUGAGGAAAACAGUGAAAUAUAGCAUGUAAACAGAAA